rnacentral:rRNA from 1 species
CCUACGGGAGGCAGCAGUGGGGAAUAUUGCACAAUGGGGGAAACCCUGAUGCAGCGACGCCGCGUGAGCGAUGAAGUAUUUCGGUAUGUAAAGCUCUAUCAGCAGGGAAGAAAAUGACGGUACCUGACUAAGAAGCCCCGGAUAACUACGUGCCAGCAGCCGCGGUAAUACGUAGGGGGCAAGCGUUAUCCGGAUUUACUGGGGGGAAAGGGAGCGUAGACGGUCCUGCAAGCCAGAUGGGAAAGCCCGGGGCUCAAACCCGGGACUGCAUUUGGAACUGUAAGGCUAGAGUGGCGGAGAGGCAGGCGGAAUUCCGAGUGUAGCGGUGAAAUGCGUAGAUAUUAGGAGGAACACCAGUGGCGAAGGCGGCCUGCUGGACGAUGACUGACGUUGAGGCUCGAAAGCGUGGGGAGCAAACAGGAUUAGAUACCCCGGUAGUC